UUUACAUAUUCUGUGUGCGCCUUUGAAGUUUGUUUUACGGCUUUUGAAUGGCAUAACAACAAAUGUAUGAGAAUCUAUGCUAAAAUGGCUAAGUAAAAAUUUAUCCGACAGAUGUUGAUGUUGCUCGUGCGAUUUGUAUUUCGUAACAGUAGUAUGUUGAUAUUUGCACAAGGAUAAUUGGUUUUUUACAUGUUGUACAUUUGGAAUUUCUGGGACAGUGACUUCAAAAGAGCGGAUGUUGUUGUUGAAUAGUUUGGUCAAGUUUUGAAUACAGACAGUUCAUGUUUACAGCUUGUUGUUUAAAUUGAACAAUAGUCUGGAACGAUAUUAUCAUC